rnacentral:rRNA from 1 species
CCUACGGGAGGCAGCAGUAAGGAAUAUUGGUCAAUGGACGAAAGUCUGAACCAGCCAUGCCGCGUGGAGGAUGAAGGUCCUCUGGAUUGUAAACUUCUUUUAUAUGGGACGAAAAAAGGCUUUUCUAAGUCGUCUGACGGUACCAUAUGAAUAAGCACCGGCUAACUCCGUGCCAGCAGCCGCGGUAAUACGGAGGGUGCAAGCGUUAUCCGGAUUCACUGGGUUUAAAGGGUGCGUAGGUGGGUUGGUAAGUCAGUGGUGAAAUCUCCGAGCUUAACUUGGAAACUGCCAUUGAUACUAUUAAUCUUGAAUAUUGUGGAGGUUAGCGGAAUAUGUCAUGUAGCGGUGAAAUGCUUAGAUAUGACAUAGAACACCAAUUGCGAAGGCAGCUGGCUACGCAUAUAUUGACACUGAGGCACGAAAGCGUGGGGAUCAAACAGGAUUAGAUACCCUGGUAGUCCACGCCCUAAACUAUGGAUACUCGACAUUUGCGAUACACUGCAAGUGUCUGAGCGAAAGCAUUAAGUAUCCCACCUGGGAAGUACGAUCGCAAGAUUGAAACUCAAAUGAAUUGACGG